rnacentral:rRNA from 1 species
GAUGAACGCUGGCGGCGUGCCUAAUACAUGCAAGUCGAGCGAACAGACGAGGAGCUUGCUCCUUCGACGCUAGCGGCGGACGGGUGAGUAACACGUAGGUAACCUACCUAUAAGACUGGGAUAACUUCGGGAAACCGGAGCUAAUACCGGAUAAUAUUUCGAACCGCAUGGUUCGAUAGUGAAAGAUGGCUUUGCUAUCACUUAUAGAUGGACCUGCGCCGUAUUAGCUAGUUGGUAAGGUAACGGCUUACCAAGGCAACGAUACGUAGCCGACCUGAGAGGGUGAUCGGCCACACUGGAACUGAGACACGGUCCAGACUCCUACGGGAGGCAGCAGUAGGGAAUCUUCCGCAAUGGGCGAAAGCCUGACGGAGCAACGCCGCGUGAGUGAUGAAGGUCUUCGGAUCGUAAAACUCUGUUAUUAGGGAAGAACAAACGUGUAAGUAACUGUGCACGUCUUGACGGUACCUAAUCAGAAAGCCACGGCUAACUACGUG